CCCUACGGGGUGCAGCAGGCCUGGAGAAGUGUGAUUAGAUCUUUACGACUUCGCGAAACGACCGCUCUACGGAUUCGUUCUGUUUGUUGAUAAACGCCGUGGGAGUAAGUGAAGUAAAACGUUUAAACUCGUUGAUAAAAUGCGCCUGAUCGUAAUAUCCGCAUUCAUAUAUUAUCUCCUGCACAUCCACCAGCCCUUCAGAAUUUAUGGCAUUAAAUGCCCUGUUAAAACGUAUGACCCUGGCAAGCUCUUUGGGUGAUAUUCCCACAAUUCGCCUGAAAUCUCUCUCCAGUGUCUUGAUGCUGAUAU
rnacentral:rRNA from 1 species